rnacentral:rRNA from 1 species
GACGAACGCUGGCGGCGUGCUUAACACAUGCAAGUCGAACGGAAAGGCCCUGCUUUUGUGGGGUGCUCGAGUGGCGAACGGGUGAGUAACACGUGAGUAACCUGCCCUUGACUUUGGGAUAACUUCAGGAAACUGGGGCUAAUACCGGAUAGGAGCUCCUGCUGCAUGGUGGGGGUUGGAAAGUUUCGGCGGGUGGGGAUGGACUCGCGGCUUAUCAGCUUGUUGGUGGGGUAGUGGCUUACCAAGGCUUUGGCGGGUAGCCGGCCUGAGAGGGUGACCGGCCACAUUGGGACUGAGAUACGGCCCAGACUCCUACGGGAGGCAGCAGUGGGGAAUAUUGCACAAUGGGCGGAAGCCUGAUGCAGCAACGCAGCGUGCGGGAUGACGGCCUUCGGGUUGUAAACCGCUUUCGCCUGUGACGAAGCGUGAGUGACGGUAAUGGGUAGAGAAGCACCGGCUAACUACGUG